rnacentral:lncRNA from 1 species
AAAAGAAAAGGGGUUUGAAUGACCACAAAAAAUGAUGAUAAGAGUCUAUACCAAAUUGGAUACUGCUUGAAAUAUCCAUUGUGUUCGCCCUCCCUCAAUUCAUCCCCAUUCUGAAUGAUGCCUACUUCAUCUUCUAUGUGCACACCCCUAAUGUAAUCCUCCCAACCCACCAUGUCCAUAAACCAAAAUCUCUCACCAUAGCCUUUGAUUUUCUCUUGUUUUUAUCCAACCUCUUUCCUUAGAUUCCUUUCUUCUAUCUCUUCUAUAUAAUCCUUUUUGGAAGAAUGUGUACAUUUUUGUAGUUUAAUCACCCAAAUGGUCUGUUUCGGUAUUUGAUGCCAAAACAAAAAAUAAUAAUAGUAAUAAAUCCAAACAAUAGUAAUUAUUAUUAUUAUUAUUAUUAUUAUUAUUAUAGAAAGUAAUGCAUGGAUCGUGAGCCCUAAUCAAGGGGCUUUUUAUUGUAUUAUAAAAAAUAAUUCUAAAAUUACCACAUUUUUUAAUUUCAAGUAUAACUCUUAAGAUGGAAAAAUUAGUUUAGCGUAAAAGUAAACUCAUGUCUUUAAAAGGCAAAUUCGUAAAAAAUGAAUUCGAUUUUUUAAAAGACAAAUUUAAUACAAAAAAUGAACUCGUGUAUUUAAAAGAUAAGUUCAAUAGAAAAAGUAAAUUCGUCUUUUAAAAAGAUAAGUUUAAUGUAAAAAUAUAACAAAUUGUGAAAAAUAUUAAAUUUUUAUAUUUAUUUGUUUUAAAUAACUAUUUUUUAAAUAAUACUUAAAAAGAAAAAAAAAUCCCCAAAUUAAGUGGUUGUAGUGUCAAAAAGGUGGCAAAGAACAUGGAAAAGAAAAAGGGUUUGAAUGACAACAAAAUAUGAUGAUAAGAGUCUAUACCAAAUUGGAUAUUCCUUGAAAUAUCCAUUGUGUUCACCCUCCCUCGAUUCAUCCCCAUUCUAAAUGAUGCCUACUUCAUCUUCUAUGUGCACACCCCUGAUGUAAUCCUCCCAACCCACCAUGUCCAUAAACCAAAAUCUCUCACCAUAACCUUUGAUUUUCUCUUGUUUUUAUCCAACCUCUUUCCUUAGAUUCCUUUCUUCUAUCUCUUCUAUAUAAUCCUUUUUGGAAGAAUGUGUACGUUUUCGUAGUUUAAUCACCCAAAUGGUUUGCCUUUCGGUAUUUGAUGCCAAAACAAAAAAUAAUAAUAGUAAUAAAUCCAAAUAAUAGUAAUUAUUAUUAUUAUAGAAAGUAAUGCAUGGAUUGUGAGCCCUAAUCAAGGGGCUUUUUAUUGUAUUAUAAAAAAUAAUUCUAAAAUUACCACAUUUUUUAAUUUCAAGUAUAACUCGUUUUUUGAAAAAAUUAGUUUAACGUAAAAGUAAACUCAUGUCUUUAAAAGGCAAAUUCGUAAAAAAAUGAAUUCGAUUUUUUAAAAGACAAAUUUAAUACAAAAAUUGAACUCAUUUAUUUAGAAGAUUAGUUCAAUAGAAAAAGUAAAUUCGUUUUUUAAAAAGAUAAGUUUAAUGUAAAAAUAUAACAAAUUGUGAAAAAUAUUAUAUUUUUAUAUUUAUUUGUUUAAAUAACUAUUUUUUAAAUAAUAUUUAAAAAGAAAAAAAAAAUCCCCAAAUUAAGUGGUUGUAGUGUCAAAAAGGUGGCAAAGAACAUGGAAAAGAAAAGGGGUUUGAAUGACCACAAAAUAUGAAGAUAAGAGUCUAUACCAAAUUGGAUAUUCUCUGAAAUAUACAUUGUAUUCACCCUCCCUCAAUUAAUCCUCAUUUUGAAUGAUGUCUACUUCAUCUUCUAUGUUCACACCCUUGAUGUAAUCCUCCCAACCCACCAUGUCCAUAAACCAAAAUCUCUCACCAUAGCCUUUGAUUUUCUCUUGUUUUUAUCCAACCUCUUUCCUUAGAUUCCUUUCUUCUAUCUCUUCUAUAUAUAAUCCUUUUUGGAAGAAUGUGUACGCUUUCGUAGUUUAAUCACCCAAAUGGUUUGCCUUUCGGUAUUUGACGCCAAAACAAAAAAUAAUGGCCACCAAAGUUGAAAAUCAAGCUUUGUGGGGCACUCCAGCCCUCCCCAGAUCUCCAGAUCCUGAAAGUUAAUGCUUCUCGUCACAUUCUCAAAUUUGCAAGGAAAUUAUGUCUUCCAAGCUGAUUUGGCAAUCUUCUUCAGUCAUGGGGCCCUCCUCCAAAGAUAAAACUACAAGAAAAUAGUUUAUUUGCAGGAAGAGGAUUGCAGAGGUAAUGUGCCAAUCUUUCAAAAUUUUAAUCACUGCUUGAAGGCUAUAAAUUAUGUCAUCUUAAUUGCCGUGAAUGUUGGACAGAUGCAGCAUGAUCAAAUUGUGUACAUUAGGGCUUUUGAAUUACUUUGUUGAGAUAUUCUUGCUGCUUAAUGUAAAGUUCAACAUUAUAUACUUCUGAUACUAAGAUGCAUUCUAUCUAAGAUCAGUUGUGAUCAUUGCAGAAGUGAUUAUUCUUACUUCUUAAUCAAAUAGAAGAGGGAAAAGAAAAGAAAGGAAGAGGGGAAAUCCCAUCUAGGUAUGUCGAUGAAGCUUUUAUUUAACAAUUUCACAGCCCUGGUUCUACUACUACUCUCUGCAACAAGUGAAGCUUGCCACUCUUCUUGUGGCAAAUUGGGUAACAUAACUUACCCUUUCCGACUGAAAGGUGAUCAGCAUAGCUGUGGGAAGGUCAACUAUGAACUGGAUUGUGAGAAUAAUCAUACAAUCUUGCACUUAUACUCUGGAAAAUACCAUGUAGAAGAAAUCAAUUAUGAUACCUUCACAAUGAGGGUUGUUGAUGUUGGUCUACAGAAAGAUAAUUGUUCUUCUUUGCCUCUUCAGUCUUUGAUGCAUGGAAAUUUUAGCCAUGGGGAUCCAUAUGAGCUGUCAGCUUUCAAUUCAGCCGUAAAUUUCCUGGAGUGUGCAGCUCCAGUGAAGUCUGCCCCCUACCUGGAUACAGCACUUUGCAGUAAAAACAGUUCUUCCAACCUCUCUUUAUCUUUAUCGCAAACACAUUCUUAUGUUGUAGUUGGUGACAUAAGAGCAUCAGAUGUGGAGGACUCUUGCAGUAUUGGCAUGGUGGUUUGGGUUUCUAAUAGCCACCUGAAGAUCAACAACAGUUCCUUUUCAGGCAUCCACAAUGGGCUGCUAUAUGGGACUGAGCUUUUAUGGCCUCGUAUUUGCUACCUUGAUUAUGUCCUUUGGAAAGUACAACUGCCGUGUGGUAAGACUUUACCUUUUUCUGUCCAGGAAACAUUAAGACGAUGAUAAGAUUAAACUGCUUUACCAGUAGAUACUUGUUGUCUUUUGCAAAGUCAAAGAUAUUUAUGCUUAAAAGAUCCUCUAUGAAAGUAGUGAUCCUUAUCUGCAUUAAUUCAUCAGUUGAUCCAGAUUUGCCUUUUUUUCCUUUUUUGGUCUACUCCUUACAGUGGCAUGGAAAACCUUUGUAUUUGGAUCAGCUUCUUUCAAAAAUUUCAUUAUCAAUUUUUUUACUGAUUAAAAAGUGUUCAGUUAAAUGCAAUGCAAUUAUUAGGUUCCAUCCGAGCUGCUUGUUAUCCCUGCAAAUCAACCCCAAAUUAUUAGGUUUUGGCCAUUUUGGCAACUGAGAUUGUGAAGUCGAGUCUCUAGUUCUCAGUUGCUGUACAUUUGUAGGAGGUGUGUACAACAUGGAGUCUUCUUUGCUUAUGCUUACUCAUAUUUCAGCUUUAUGGCUUGAUUCUUUUAUUAUGCUGAUGUUCCCUGUCUGUAUAAUGCAGCUUUGUUGGAUCCAUUUUAUUUCUCUGCGAAAUGUAAGAAUUCUCUCUCCAUCUCCAAGUGUUCCCUUCAUUCAUACAUAAGCCUAUUUACAAAUUAUUUCAGUAUUGCAUUUGAUUCUAUUUUCUUUGUUAUUUUGAACAGAUGGUGGCCCUUACUUUGGUAAGAUACUUGAUUUUCCCCUGUUUUAAGUCAUGGAGAAACAAAGAUCAACUUAAAUAGAUACGCCAUGUGUUUGAAGGCAUCCAAUAAAAUUUGAAUAUGGAUGGCCUUUUAAUUCCUAAAUGCAAAACACAUAUGGUCAGAACGCCAUCGACUUAACUGAACAUGUGCUUUACAAGACAUAUUUUCUGUAACCCAAUAAACAGAAAAGGAAAAGAAAUGAAAGGAUACCAUACUAGAACUUGGAAAAAAUGAUAAUAAAGAUGGAGUGAUUCUUCAAGUUUAAUCGCUAAUUUUCUGUAAUUUUCAUUUCCAGAGCUUAAUAUUGCACUGAGAUGUUGUGGGAUUCCAUGUGUGUUUGUGUUCUUGAUCUAUAAAUGGCGAAGAAGGAAUUUGUGGAUCUACAGUGACAUUGAAGAGUUCAUUCAAAGUCACAACAACCUAAUGCCAAUUAGGUACUCUUACUCAAACAUUAAGAAGAUGACAAAAAAUUUCAAGGAAAAAUUGGGUGAAGGAGGUUUUGGUUCAGUGUUUAAAGGAAAGCUUCAAAGUGGCCGUCUUGUAGCUGUAAAGAUGGUCAAUUCCAAAGCCAAUGGACAGGAUUUUAUCAAUGAAGUUGCUACAAUUGGAAGGAUCCAUCAUGUCAAUGUGGUCCAACUAAUUGGAUUCUGUGCCAAGGGAUCGAAGCGUGCUCUUGUAUUUGACUUCAUGCCCAAUGGGUCUCUGGACAAGUACAUAUUCCCUCGAACAGAAGCAAAUAUCUCUUUGAACUUUGAGAAAAUGUAUGAGAUUUCUCUAGGAGUGGCUCAUGGGAUUGAAUACUUACACCGAGGUUGUGAUAUGCAAAUCCUACAUUUUGACAUCAAGCCUCACAACAUUCUGCUUGAUAAGAAUUUCAGUCCAAAGGUUUCAGACUUUGGCCUUGCAAAACUGUAUCCAACAGAUCAUAGCAUUGUGUCUGUAACUGCAGCAAGAGGGACAAUGGGAUAUAUGGCUCCAGAGUUGGUUUACAAAAACAUUGGGGGAGUCUCAUACAAAGCUGAUGUUUAUAGUUUUGGAAUGUUGUUGAUGGAAAUGGCAGGCAGAAGGAAGAAUUUGAAUGUGUUUGCAGAGCAUUCCAGCCAAAUGUACUUUCCUUCUUGGGUGUACGACCAGUUCUCUGAAGGAAAGGACAUAGAAAUGGGAGAUGCCACAGAGGAAGAGCAGAAACUUGCAAAGAAGAUGAUCAUAGUGGCCUUAUGGUGCAUACAGCUGAAGCCGAGUGAUCGACCUUCAAUGAGCAAAGUGGUAGAGAUGCUAGAGGGGAAUGUAGAACUCCUGCAAAUGCCUCCAAAGCCCUUCUUAACUCCACAAGAGGUGCCAGCUGAGGACCAUUGAAAUAUUUGAACAAAUCUUCCAUUUCCCUUCAGGUAGUGUUAUCCUAUGUCUUGUUUCAUUCUCUGUAUCUCACUUGCCCUUGAAAUAUUUGAAUCAAUCUUCCAUUUUCCUUCAGGUAAGUUCCAGUUCUUUGCAGAUCUAUAGAAAUAUAUAGUUGUUGAGCUUGGAGAGAUUUAAGUUGUCUAGUUUGUUAUGCAUUUGUUGCCAGCAGUGUCCCUAAGGCUAUGUUUGGUUCCUGGAAAAUACUAAAGAAAGAAAAAAAAAUGCAAAGGAAAAUGAUUUUCUUUAGUUUGGAUGACAUGAAAAAUAUGAUGGAAAAAAAAUAUAAAGGAAAAUAUUGUAAUAUUUUCCCUAUUAUUUUCCUUAAAAAAUAGUGAGGAAAAUAAGAGAAAAAAAGAAGGGAAAAGGGGGGGAAAAUUUUAUCGGGCUCUUGUUCACCGAGGCUUCACCUCUAACUUCCUCUUCAUCUGUGGCUAUGGCUUCUCAUCGUCGUUAACCCUUUCAAUGGCCACCACUAUCACUUCAACCACCUUCCAGUGCUGAAAACCUACCCUUUUCAGGCCCCUGAGUUCCCAUGGAUGAAAUGCGUUAUUCAAAUCAAGUUCCCAUGGGUGAAAUGAAUUCUUCAAAUCCAGUGAAUCUAUUCGGAUCCAUGUCUUUAAAUCAUGUAUGAAUUGAACUCCAAUCCACCUCAUCUUGUGAAAACUCGGAACCCAAGGUAACCGCUCUCUCUUGGGUUCUCUAUUUGGGUUUCUAUGUUGCUUUCGCCUUUCCUGUUUCUUAAAUUUCGCCAGAAUUUUUCUUGAACAUAUUACCUAUCACAUAUCCUUGCAUCACCCAAAUUGGAGUUAGCCAUAUCACACAUUUGGUAUCAUCUCUGUGCUUCCAUUUGAUUUCAGAAACAAGAAUUGAUUGAAAAAAUGGGGAUAUUACAUGUUUGAAUAAUUGCCUCUAAGAAAUAGUGUAUGCAUAUAUGCAUGACUUGGUUGGGGGGAAUGGGUCUGCAGUUGUGUAUUGCAUAUUUAUAUGUUGUUGCUGCCUUUGAGUGCUUGGUUAUUAUUUUGUAUCAUUGUUGGUGGCAUCAAUUUUCGGAUGGUUUAACAUUGGAUUGUUAGAAGUAUCAGUUUCUACUCUCCUGAUUAGAAAUGUUACCAUAAAAACAAAAUUAAGAUGCUUGUUGCGUUACAAACCCAGUAGAUUAAAUAAUAAAACGAAUUGAAAAUAAUCAAUAAAUUUGGUAGUGGGCUAAGAUGGGACCCUUCCAUAUAUCUUCAAAUGUGAAAUUAAUCACAUGACACUAAAUGAGAAACUUGACUAGAAGUUGCCAUUCAUCUGUAUUAUUGUUAUUUUACUAAAAUAAAGACAAGUUAUUCUCUUGAUUGUGAAAAUUGUUUUUGCACUGCUGUUUUAUUGUCCAAAGCUUUUGAUAAAUGCUUAGAUAUGUUGUAUUCUGUCAAUUUCAAUUGCCUUUUAUUGUCAAGCCUUUCUGGUAUCUAGGGAUAAACCUGUCCUGUCUUUUGGUUUGUGUGGGGCUUGAAGGUGGGAUAUGUUGUAAUUGGGGUUGUGUUUUCAAAUGCGAUGAGGUGCAAUUGCUCCUGAAGUUGUCACUAUUGAUUUGAUGACACAUCCCUAGUUCAACACAACAACUUCAAGUAUCAGAAUCAUACAGAAAUACCCAACAUAUGGAUUGGAGCAAUAACAGUAAUUUCUAUUAUCAAAAUGAUCAAGAUCGACCCCUUUACCUGAUAGAUUGAUCUUGCCUCACCAAAGAUAAAGUCAAUGCUUCCUUGGAUGUAACACUGGUUAAAGUAGUGUGUUCCAGACAAAUCCAUGAGGGUGUCCUAUGCCCCUAAGGCCUGACAUUGUAGAACAUGGCUUUAUCACCGUUUAUACUCAGUGCCACUGCUUGCAUUCUAGGCACUCUAGGCCUUGCAUCCACUGCUUUCAUUGAUUUCUCUAAUUAUCUACUUUUUUGCGUCUACCGAACAGAGCACAGAGUUCAGUUUGAUUGCCUCAGGUGCUUAAGGUGGUUUUGUAUAAAUAACAUCAUGGGGUUGUGGAGUGGCACUCUAUAUAGUUGCUAAUUUCCAGGGUGUUAGAUUAAUAAUAUGACUUCUUGGGAAUGUUUCUAUUACUUAAAGAAACCUUUUGUUGAUUUCGAGAAUCUCCUUUGAUUUUUGUAGCCGUUUUUGGUUGAUGGUAUAGAGAUCACAAUAAAUAAUUACAAUUUUCUAGCCAUUUUUCUGAUCUAUUGUUCUGUAUCAUGAAAUUGAAAGUUUGGUAAUAAAAACGUUUUUCCAAUUUGUAGCACUGAAAACUUGAAGUUGUAGAAAAGGUAAAUUCGUGGAAGUUUGUGACUGAAAUGUGAUGGUUUAAAUUUUAGCCUGCGUGGGUUGCAAUGGAAAUUUCAGUGGCUAAAUGUAAUUAGUUUCUGCAACAUGUUUUCAACACGCUAGGCAUGAAAAUUUGUUAAUUUUUUUUUUCUCAAUUUUAUUAGUCCAAAUAGUCUAACUAUAGAUGGAAAAUGAAUAAUACAGAUAGUGGUGUGUAUCACUAAAUACAGUUAGAGGAAGGGUUGAAUGAGACUGAUAUCUUUCUACCAAUCUACUCCAAGAGUUCAAUUUUUGUUUCCUUGAAAUUUUUUUAAUUAUUCAACAAAUUGAUAACCAUCUAAAAUAAAUUAUUGAUUUUAUUUUCCUUCUAUUUUUCCUUUACCUUUUUUUGUGGUUAACCAAACAAAAGAAAAUGUAUUUUUUUUCCCUUGAAUUUUCCAUGGAUAACGAAACAAGUGAAAAAAUUUAUAUUCCUUUCCUUAGCUUUUUCUUUCAUUCCAUUUUUCCUCCUAAUUUUCUUUCUCUCGCAUUUUUCGAGAACCAAACAUAGCCUAAAUGAUGGCUUUUCUUGCCUUGAGUGAUCCUGAUAACUCUUGAGCCUUUGGCAAAAUGGAGAAUUCAAAAGGCUUUGAUGUCGUUUGGUGUUGUGAUUUGAAAAUAGUUUUAAACAAGAAGUGAAAUAGGGAAUAAGUAAAAAGUUGUUUUCACUUGUUUUGAAAAAUAAAAGGAAAAUGUUAAAUUUUCAAAUAUGAUUUUAUUUUGAGUUACAUAUGUUUUUCUAAAUUUUUUAAAAUUUCUUUGAAAAUUUUCAUUAAAUAAAUAAAUUUCAAAUUAGACUACACUUGGUACAUUAAAUUUAUUAAUUUAUAAAAAUAAUUUUAAACUCAAAAACCGAUUUAAUUAGUACUAGAAAUCAUGAAAUUCAAUAAAAUUAUAAAGUCAUGAAUCAAAAUUCAUUUUGAAUGACUUAGAGCUUAUUUGAUCAUGUGAUUUAAAAACAAUUUUUUGUUUUUAAAAACAGAAAAUUGUUUUUAAAUUUUUUUAACACUAUCUGGUUGUUAUUCUUUGAUUUUUUUUUUAAAAAAGUAAAGUAAAAUAAAAAAUAAUUUUUAGAGAAUAAGUAAGAGUUGUUUUCACUCAUUUCUAAAAGCAAAAGGAAAACAUAGGCCUAUUUGGUCAUGUUUUCCUAAACUUAUUUUUAAAAAUUGUUUUUAAGUUAAAAAUAAAAAAUAAAAAUAAGUUUUUAAAAACAUGACCAAACGGGUCAUUGGUUUCUUCUUUACAUAUAAUCAUAUUGUUGUAAAUUUUUUUUAGUAGGUAGAUAAACUCCCAAUCAAGUAAGACCAAAUGCAUUAGAUUCAUUAACAAGUUUGGUAAUUUUUAAAAAUAACUUGAAAAUAAAAUAAAAUUCCAAUUAAUAUAAGAAAUUUAUGAAUAAAAUUUGAUAUAUAAUAAUUUUAUUGUUUCUCUUGUACAUGUAAUCAUAUUUUCCAAUUUGUUUGUUUGUUUUUUUUAAGAAACAAAUAAACUUCAAAUUAAGCAAAAUGUAAUGCAUUGGAUUCAUUAAAAAGUCUUAUAAUUUUUUAAAUAAUUUGAAAUUAAAAUAGUGAUCCAAUUGAGACAAGAAAUUUAUGAAUAAAAAUUGGAUUACAAUGACUAUUAUUUACUUUCUGUACAUAAUUAUAUUUUUAUAAAUUUUUUCACAAAAAAAAAUGAGUUUCAAAUGAUGUGAUUUUUUGUAUAGAAUUUCUUAAUAAGUUUAAUAAUUUUUAAAAAUAAUUUAAAAUUUAAAUUUUGGUCCCAUUAAUUGAAGAUUAAAAUCAAAUCAUUUCAGAAUGUUUUGGCAAGUAUUAAAUGUGCACAUGUAAUGAAAAAAUAAACUCAUUUCCAUAUUAAAAAAGUUAAACUUUAUUUGAUUUUAAAUUCAUUUGAAAUGAAAUAUUAAUAACAAUGAUUAUUUUUAAAUAAUUAUUAUUUAUUAUCAACACAAAAAAAUCAAUUAUGCUUUUACAAAGAUGAAUAUUUUUUUUAAAAAAAAAUUAUAAUAUAUGAUAUUUAUUAUAAUAUCUCUCUUCAUAUUUUACUAAAAAACUAUUUAUUUGAAUUAAAAAAUAUUUUCAGUUUUAAUAGACUUGAAUUAAAAUUAAUUAAUAAUAUAUAAAUAUAAUUUAUUAUGUUUUUACAAAAAUCAAAAUUAAAAAAUUAUUUUUAUAAACAACUUAUUUAAACAUGGUUUUUUUUUAAAAAAAAAAACAUGUCAAACACCCUUAUUUUAUGAAAUACUAAGUUCUUUGAUAAUUAUUUUUAUAAACAAUUUUCUGUUUUCUAAAAUAAAAAAAUAGUGUUUUUAGAAAACAUUUUUCUAUUCUUAAAAAUAAAAAUAUAGUGCUUUCAGAAAAUAUUUUUUUAAUUAUUUUCACUUAUUUAUUUAAAUCAAUUUUAAAAAUAAUUAUAUAAAUAUAGAGAAAGAUUAAAAGUUAUUUUCAAAACAUAUUUAAAAAUAUAGAACUCAUAUUAAAAACAUUUCAAGUUAACUUUUACUUUACAAAACAUUUAGAGAACAGUUUUUAAUAACGGUUACUAAAAAUUAUUUUUGAAAACAUUUUCUCAACAUAACUUGAAAAACUGUUUUUUGUUCUUGAUUUUUAAAAACAAGCAUAACAAAACAUGAAAACAGUUUUUAAAACCAAACAUAUCAAACCUUAGACAGAGAAAGUCAUAGGCUACACAGUAAUCACCUGUCACAAUGGUUGAUUUUUGCUUAGCAUUUCUUCUGUUCCAGUUAAUCCGACAAUCUUUUUACUUUUCAUUGUUUCUUCUCCUCCAAGAAAAAAUUUCUGCCCUCGCAUUCUGCUUUACUGAUUAUUCUUCUUCUUCAUUUGUCAACACCACAAGCUUUUGAUUUACAUCUUCUCUUUUGACGCUGAGUAGAAAUGGCAUUGUUUGUUGUCUCUGUUUCCAGGGCUUCUGUCUUGCUAAAGCUACAAAGGACGAAACCGAGGAAGGCAAAUGCGGCAUUACAUAACAGAGAGAAGGAAAUGCCGGGAAACAAACAGAUUUUUACAGGUAUUGGAACUAAAAUGGCCAAAAUCAUGGAUUUUUUGAUAAUUCAUUCUGCUUUUCACUUGCUAUGGAGCCCUAGAAAGUGCUCUGUUGUACAAACAUUGGUUGGCUAGCAAUGAUUGAAAGAAAGGUUACAUUGAUAAAAUUUACAACCUGAUUGGUAUUUUUCUCUAUUAUUCUGAGAUAACUGUCAACUCUUGUUGAAAAGGUCUUCCAAGGCUGCUUCCAUUUGUUCAUGUUGGGCUUGUGGAGGCAAAGGGAUUAGGGGGCAUGGUUAAACUGUCUCCUUCUCCUUCCAGCAUUUGAACCACAGCUUUCAUGGGAGGACGAUCCAUAGGGUACCAUUGAAUGCACCAAAGUCCCACAAUUGUUAAUUGCUUUGCUAUUUUAUCAUCUCCCUCUUUUUCAAUCCGGAUAUGCAACUCUUCUCCCUGAUCCAAAUGAUUAUAUGCCCAUUCUGGGAAAUAUAAUUGGCUGGUGUUGUCCACUGUAACAUCAAUAUUCUUCCUUCCGCCUACCAUUUCAAGCAACAGCAUCCCAAAACUAAAAACAUCUGACUUGUAGGACACAUGCCCAAAAUUUCUAGAUAAUACUUCUGGGGCAAUAUAGCCCAUGGUCCCUCGAGCAGCCGUCAUAGAAACUGUACUUUGCUCCUUGGAACACAAUUUUGCCAGACCAAAAUCAGAUAUCUUUGGGUUGAGGUGAUGAUCUAGAAGAAUAUUAUGAGGCUUGAUAUCAAAAUGAAGGAUUCUCUGAUCACAACCUUGGUGAAGAUACUCAAUUCCUUUGGCUAUGCCCAGAGCAAUAUCUUGAAGCUUCUUCCAACCAAGUGAACGGUUCUUAAUGGUGGUUGAAAAUAUGAACUUCUCCAGGGAUUCAUUUGGUAAGAACUCAUAAAUAAGUGCUCGACUAAAUCCAUCGGCACAAAAGCCGACCAAGCGAACAACAUUGACAUGGUGGAUUCUGCCCAUUGUUCUCACUUCAUUGAUGAAUUCUUCCCCAUUUCCCUUGGAAUUGCUAAGAAUCUUUACUGCAACAAGAACUUCAUUGGAAAGCUUUCCUUUGUACACAGUUCCAUAGCCUCCUUGGCCCAAUUUAUCCUGAAAUUGAUUUGUUAUCUUCUUAAUAUCAGCGAAAGAGUAUCUAGAGGGCUUGAGAGCUCUGUAAUCUUCCAAAAACUUUUCAAUCUUUAUUUGAUUCUCUCUUUGUAAUUUAUUUGUGCAAUGAACACGGUAGAACAUAAUGACUACCAGCACAAGAAGAAAGGAACCAACCAUAGGACCUACAAAAAAAAAAGGUUAGGGACCCCUGUUCCCUAAUCCCAGGGAGCAAAAGAAGCAUGAACCAAUGAAAACUUUAC